rnacentral:lncRNA from 1 species
GCCAUGACGUUGAUGGAGUACCUCAUCAAGACUGGCUCUGAGCGUGUAUCACAACAGUGCAAAGAGAACAUGUAUGCUGUGCAGACGCUGAAGGACUUCCAAUAUGUGGACCGUGAUGGCAAGGACCAGGGUGUGAAUGUGCGGGAGAAGGCCAAGCAGCUGGUGGCUUUGCUGCGUGAUGAGGAUCGGCUUCGGGAGGAGCGCGCCCACGCGCUCAAGACCAAGGAGAAACUGGCACAGACUGCCACGGCUUCCUCAGCAGCUGUGGGCUCUGGACCACCUCCCGAGGCGGAGCAGGCAUGGCCACAGAGCAGCGGGGAGGAGGAGUUGCAGCUCCAGCUGGCCCUGGCUAUGAGCAAGGAGGAGGCUGACCAGGAAGAGCGGAUCCGUCGUGGGGAUGACCUGAGGCUGCAGAUGGCAAUAGAGGAGAGCAAGAGGGAGACUGGGGGCAAGGAGGAGUCAUCUCUUAUGGAUCUUGCUGACGUCUUCACAACCCCAGCCCCUCCACAGGCCUCAGACCCUUGGGGGGGCCCGGCAUCUGUGCCUACUGCUGUCCCUGUGGCUGCUGCUGCCUCAGACCCUUGGGGGGCACCUGCUGUCCCUCCAGCUGCUGAUCCUUGGGGUGGUGCAGCCCCCACGCCAGCCUCCGGGGAUCCUUGGAGGCCUGCAGCCCCUACAGGGCCCUCUGUUGACCCUUGGGGUGGGACCCCAGCUCCUGCAGCUGGAGAGGGGCC